rnacentral:tRNA from 1 species
AAGGGGGGUUUAACCAGCGAAAACUGCUAAUUCUCGCAUCUGAGUUUAAAACCUCAGCCUCCUUA